AGUAGGGUCAGCUAAACAAGCUAUCGGGCCCAUACCCCGAAAAUGCCACUAGGCCCCUAAUA
rnacentral:tRNA from 1 species